GAUGAACGCUGACAGAAUGCUUAACACAUGCAAGUCGACUCGAGUCUUCGGACUUGGGUGGCGCACGGGUGAGUAACGCGUAAAGAACUUGCCUCUUAGACCGGGACAACAUCUGGAAACGGAUGCUAAUACCGGAUAUUAUGGUUUUUUCGCAUGGAGGAAUCAUGAAAGCUAGAUGCGCUAAGAGAGAGCUUUGCGUCCCAUUAGCUGGUUGGUGAGGUAACGGCCCACCAAGGCAAUGAUGGGUAGCCGGCCUGAGAGGGUGAACGGCCACAAGGGGACUGAGACACGGCCCUUACUCCUACGGGAGGCAGCAGUGGGGAAUAUUGGACAAUGGACCGCAAGUCUGAUCCAGCAAUUCUGUGUGCACGAUGACUUUUUUCGGAAUGUAAAGUGCUUUCAGUCGGGAAGAAGUCAGUGACGGUACCGACAGAAGAAGCGACGGCUAAAUACGUGCCAGCAGCCGCGGUAAUACGUAUGUCGCAAGCGUUAUCCGGAUUUAUUGGGCGUAAAGCGCGUCUAGGCGGCAAGGAAAGUCUGAUGUGAAAAUGCAGAGCUCAACUCCGUAUGGCGUUGGAAACUGCCUUACUAGAGUACUGGAGAGGUAGGCGGAACUACAAUUGUAGAGGGUGAAUUUCGUGGAUAUGUGUAGGAGUGCCGAUGGGGGAAGCCAGCCUACUGGACAGAUUUGGACGCUAAAGCGCGAAAGCGUGUGGUAGCAAACAGUAUUAUAUAUCCCUGGUGGUCAAGGGUGAAUUUCACAUGGUGAUUUUAGCUUUUGAUUAUCUGCGACGUUGGUGUGGGAAAUCAAAAAUUUAUCUUUUGUUUCAUUAUGGUACUUCAUUAGUGUGC
rnacentral:rRNA from 1 species